rnacentral:snRNA from 1 species
AAUGAAAAAAACCCUCAACUUU